UUUCCCAAUGCCUUCUAACUGACGUCUCCCGCGAGCGACUGCUCUGCCCCCACUUGGAAAGUCCAGGGAGGCGCAAGGCGGCCACCUCCGCCGCUCGCCCCAGCAGCAGGAGCAGCCGCAGCUCUGCCGCACGCCGAAGUCUGGACUGCUCUCCGGGUCCCCUUGCCUAGAUGGAGUCUUGCUAUGUUGCCCAGGCUGGAGUUCACUGGCUAUUCACAGGUGCAAUUAUAGGGCAUGACAGCCGUGAACUCCUGGCCUCAAGUGAUCCUCUUGCCUCAGUCUCUGGAGUCUCCAAAAUAGGGGAAGGAUGGAAGAAAUAAAAUACAUAAUGGAAUGGUGGGAAGACUCUGGAUCAGGAAACAUGAAUUUAAGUCUCCAUUUGUCUAAGUUAUUUGCUCAGAAAUCCCUCAAUGUGCAAGCUGGACUAAUGUGGGAAGAAAAAUCAUGAAGUAUCCAUUUAGGAGUAUAUUCCAACAAUCAAGAUGAGAAGCAGCGAGAGCCUGGAUGAUCUUGCACUGUCUCUUAGCCUGGAGUACAGUGGUGUGACUGUAGCCUUGAAUUCAUGGGCUCAAGCAAUCCUCCCACCUCAGCCUCCCGAGUAACUGGGACUACAUGUGUGUGCCACCACAACCAGCUAUUUUUUUUUUUUAAAUAGAGAUGGGGGUCUCGCUAUGUUGCUUCAAGCUGGUCUCAGACUCCUGGCCUCAAGUGACCCUCCCACCUUGGUGCUUCCUUAUUUUUCUGUCAAGAAAAUAUUCUCAAAAUGCAGAGAGUAAAAUAGUUACUCAUUUUAAGAGAAAAUAAAAUCAAUUUUGAUGUCUUAUAUUAGCAGUGUCUAUGUAAAUGCAAAUUAAAUCCUAGGGCAGAAAAUAAUGCAUAUAUGCAUAUAGAUAUAUAAAGAUUUUGAUAUUUGGGAAAUGAAUGUAAAUAGUAGAGAUGACUUAAGGCUGGAAAACUGGCAAAUGUUCAAGUACUUUUCAAAAAAGGGAAAUGGGCAAAUCCUACAUAUUUCAUUUUGGUACGCUUAUAUCAAUUCAUGGAAAAACUCUAGGUCAGAUAAUUUGUGAGCUUUAAUAUAAGUUAAGUUUCACUAGUAGGAGCAUGAGUCUUUAAGAAAACUUUAUAUCCACGUAACACCAUUUUCUUUCUGGACAAUUGUUUGCCUAUAUUAACUCAAGGGAAUGCCAUAUAUAGAGGGUUAGUUUUUCCCUGGUAUAAGUAUGGACAAGAUGUUCAAAUGUGACCUAUAUAAUGAAGUAAAACAACUAUGAUCAGUGUUACUAGUAAAACAAAGUUAAUUCAGCCAAUGAAGUUGAAUCCUCAGUAGUUGCAGAAAUGGAUCCUUCUGACUCUGAAUGGUAAGUGCCUGUGUUUGGGGAUGGGAGGGAUGACACUGUGCCUUAGAAGUAUAUCGUUCUCCAGAAUGAUGAUUUUGGUUAAGAUCAUCAGAGGAAGAGAGGUCUCAAGAUGGUGUGGUACAUAUUAUCAUUAUUCUCAGUCUCACUGCUGUCCAGAACAAUUAAGAUAAAUGGGAAAUUCAGAAGAGGUGGGUGGAAUUUUUGGAUAUUAGUGAGGGACAAAAGAAUCCCUCCUCCACAGUUCUGCCUCUUUUCCAAAAUGAGAAUAUCUCAGACAUUGAAACUUGGAUUGAGCUAAUGUGGACCUGGAGGGCUAGGAAUAUUUGUUAAUACCUCUCAGGGUUGUUUCAGAAUGGAUUGUUUUGCUAGUGGAAUGCUGAAAUAGAUCAGAGGUCUUCUAAUUUUCAUAAGUACUAAAAAUAAUAUGUAUCAGCCUGAAAAAGCACAACUGAGAAAUUAAGCCUGAUUUCCUUUCCCACUUCCUUCUACAAUUGCCCUUCUCUUACUUCACAAAAAAGGGGCGCCCUUUUCUUCUGUCUUGUGUUGCAACCAUUGUUGAAUUGUCUUAGUGUAGAAACCCUACUCUCAGUAUUAAAUAAAAUGACAAUUACAAAUGUGA